AAUGGGGGAAACCCUGACGCAGCAACGCCGCGUGGGUGAUGAAGGCCUUCGGGUCGUAAAGCCCUGUCGGGAGGGAAGAAAUGAUUGAGGGUUAAUACCUCUUGAUCUUGACGGUACCUCCGAAGGAAGCACCGGCUAACUCCGGGCCAGCAGCCGCGGUAAUACGGAGGGUGCAAGCGUUGUUCGGAAUUAUUGGGCGUAAAGAGUGCGUAGACGGUCCAUUAAGUUUGAUGUUAAAGACUCUAGCCUAACUGGAGGGUUGCAACGAAAACUGGUGAGCUGGAGGGUGAGAGAGAGAAGUGGAAUUCCUGGAGUAGCGGUAAAAUGCGUGGAUCUCAGGAGGAACACCAAUGGCGGAGGCAGCUUCUUGGCUCAUUCCUGACGUUGAGGCACGAAAGCGUGGGGAGCAAA
rnacentral:rRNA from 1 species